rnacentral:lncRNA from 1 species
UUCUCUCAUCUGUAAGUGAAGUGGUCUCUGCCAACAGUAGAAUGAUCAGCCCUGACAUUCUAUGAUAUCCUGCACCACAUGGUGCAAGAUAUUAAGUAGUUCCUGUCUAGGUCUUCAGAGGGCAUCAGCAAUUUAGACCCUUUCUGUAUCCUUUAGUUUCUUAAACAUAAAUGCUAACAACUAAUUAUAAAUAGAGGAAAACUAAAUCAAGUUAAAAGAAUACAUUUUUAAAGCGACAUUAUAACUUUUUAUUUUUUUUUCUUAAAUAAUGAGAACUUUUUAAGAUUAGUUUUCUGCAAAACUUUAAAUGUUAGUUUUAAAAUAUGUUUUGUUAUACUGGGUACUUCUUAAAUACUCUACUUCUCUGGUAUGGAUUAUUUGUCCUUUGAAAUGUUUGUUCAGGUUCGAGACCAGCCUGGGCAACAUAGUGAGACCCUGUUUUUACAAAAAAAUACAAAAGUUAGCUGGGUGUGGUGGCACACGUGCCUGUAGUCCCAGCUACUAGGGAGGCUGAGGUGGGAGGAUCACUUGAGCCCGGGAGGUUGAGGCUGCAGUGAGCUGAGAUUGCACCACUGCACUCCAGGCUGGGUGACAGAGAGAGACCAUGUCUCAAAAGAAAAAGAAAAAGAAAAAGAAAAAUGUUUGUUCUGUCUUAAGACUUCUAAAUAGGUUAAAGGCCAGGAAAACAAUAAAUGUAAAGUAAUCUUAUGGUUUGUUUAUUCAUCUCUUCAGACUCCACACUCAUGAAUUAAUAUUACAGAUAAAUGCUCCUAUGUCCGUCUGGUAAGCAAGUGAUAGCUUUUGAGCCUCAGCUUCUACAUAAUACAUCUGGGUUAUUUAUAAAUUGAAUUUGUCACACACAAAUGAUGUUUCAUGAGAAAGAAGAUUCAAUGAUUUGUAAAUCUCUCCUUUCUAUCCCCACAGCCACUGCCCAGACACUUUACUUCAAAUUUGGCUUUAUUUUCAUCAUUGAUAUUGAUUAAAAUGACAUUCACUUGCCCGGAAAGUAAAAGAGGUCUUCAGCACAAAAUAUUGCUCCAACAAGCAAGCAUAAAUCACUGAGAUUGAAAUGUCAUCUAUCUUUAUUGGCCAACCACAUAAUCUCCAUGAAAAUUCUCAACAGAGAGCAAGGAACUCACUUUCUUCUAAGCAAAGACAAUUUGGAUUUGCCUCGUGGCACUGGCAUCUCUUCAUGUCUGGACGUCAGAUGUUAGCUUGGUGCCUUUCUCCCUUAUCAGGGGGACAUUUUGAACCCAGCCGCACCAAUGUUCUCAUGGAUGGUGGCCUUCGAUUCUUCUAGAUUCAAGAUUUGGCUCUUGUACUUUUCCUGCCAGUCCUCUACAAUGUACUGGUGGUAGGGGUCAUUGGAGUGUUCCCGUCUCUUGGAUUUCACAGUGCUCACCAGGAUGGCCACGAUGAUGAAAGAGAACAUUCCAAUCAUCACCAUGAGGUACAGGAUGACAUAGUAGAAGUUCUCAGCAUCAACUUUGGCUUGGAGGGCCUCUUGCUCAGCUGUUGUGUUCUGGCGCCAAUUGUCCAUAUAAGUAAUAAAAAUCCUUCGGAAGACGUCUUCCAGCGUCUGUGUGAAAUUGGAUAAAGUAGACAUGCUUCCCUCCUGCUGCAAUUUAAAUAAUAAAAUAGGCGAACAAGGUUAGGAAAACGGAUCUUUUCUGGAUUUGGCUAUGUAAAGGUGGGAGGGAGAUGCCAGGGUAUAAGUAAUAGUAUUUCUUCUUAACCUGGCUGGUGAUUUAAUGCAUAUUUUGUUAGUCUUUAAACUGACUGCGUACAUUUUAUUCACUUUUUUUACAAUCCAUGAUUGUUACACAGUAAAAAUUUAAAUGGCAGAGAAAAUUAUAUAUAUACACUUUGAUAUUUAUAUAUGCAUGUAAAUAAAUGUAUGUGUACAUAUGAAAAUGGAGAAAAUAUUAGAAGUACAUAGAUCAGAAUGUUAACAGUGGGUGGUGUGCUUAAAGAUAUGUAUUUUCUUCUUUAUGCUUUUCUCAUAUUCCAAAUUUUCAUCAGCAGUCUUGCAUUACUUUUGUUUUUUAAAAAAUUGGUAACCUUACAAGAGCUAGAAUAAUGCCACAUUCAUAACAAGCACUCAACAAACGUCAGUGGAAUGGACCAAUGACUCAUUUAUGUUCUCUGUUUUUAGAGAAUUGUGGGGCAUUAUGAGAUAACAUCAAGAGAAAAGAUUGCAGGGGGCAUUGACAGACUCUCCAAUUUGUUCCAUCCCCUAUGUCUAAGUGGCACAUUGUCCCAAGUAUCCUAAAGGGAGGGGUGUGUACAUCUAUAUUUGAAAGAAGCAUUUUAGGUAAGUGAUGCCAAGAAACAAUCUGAGAGAUUAUUCCUAUGUUUCAAAUCCAUCUCUCCUUUUCAUCACCACUGGCACCGCCCAGCCUCCAGCAUCUCUCACCUGGAUAAUACAAUGCCAACAAUGUAAUACAACACAACCCUCCCCAGAGCCAUCUCUUUGGGGUUAUAUGUGCCCCUCUCUGCCUUGAAUAGCCAUCAAUGUGCCCUUUUUUUUUUCUUAAGACGGAAUCUUGCUCUGUCGUCCAGGCUGGAGUGGGGUGGCACGAUCUCUGCUCACUGAAACCUCCGCCUCCCCAGUUCAAGCAAUUCUCAUGCCUCAGCCUCCCAAGUAGCUGGGAUUACAGGCACAUGUCACCACGCCUGGCUAACUUUUGUAUUUUUGGUAGAGACGGGGUUUCAACACAUUGGCCAGGCUGGUCUCGAACUCCUGACUUCAGGUGAUCCACCCGCCUCAGCCUCCCAAAGUGCUGGGAUUACAUGUGUCAGCCACCGUGCACAGCCAAUGUGCCUUUUUGAAGAGGGAAAUUAUAGUGCAAUUUGUUUGCUUUUAAAAUGAUGCGAUGGUUGUUCUUAAAAUCAAGUCCUAAUUCCUUAACAGUAUUUACCCCAUUGGCUGAGCAGGCUCCUGACCACCUCCUCAGUUACCCUUUGCUCACUACAGUUCGGUCACACCUGACAUCUUCCCUCCCUGUCAGUAAGCUCUCUUUCCUCGGGACAUUAUCACAUCCUAUUCUCUCAACCUAGAAUGCCUUUGCCUUUCUCUUCCACCUGCUACCUCCUCGUUCUUUAGGUUCCAGCUAGUUGUCACUUCUGAGACUUCCCUGGUUCUACUCUAAAUCACUUCCCACCACCACCACCAUUUUCCUCCAACAGCAUCUCCUUUUUCUUCAAAAGCACACAUCACAUAUGCAGUCACUAAAUGUGUGUGUAUAUAUUCAUAUUACUUUUGUUUAAAAAAAAUUGGUAACCUCACACCAGCUAGAAUAAUGCCAUAUUUAUAACAAGCACUCAACAAAUGUCAGUUAAAUGGAGCAAUGACUCAUUUAUAUUCUGUUUUCAGAGAAUUAUAUACGUGUGCUUUUUUAUACAUCUCUGUUUUUAGAGAAUUGUGGGGCUUUAGACAUAACAUCAAGGCAAACGAUUGCAAGGCAAAAAUUUUUUGUUUUUUUGAGACGGAGUCUCGCUCUGUCACCCAGGCUGGAGUGCAGUGGCGCGAUCUUGGCUCACUGCAACCUCUGCCUCCCAGGUUCAAGUGAUUCUCCUGUCUCAGCCUCCCAAGUAGCUGGGACUACAGGCAACCGCCACUACGCCUGGCUAAUGUUUUGUAUUUUUAGUAGAGACGGGGUUUCGCCAUGUUAGCCAGGAUGGUCUCGAUCUCGUGACCUCGUGAUCCACCUGCCUCGGCCUCCCAAAGUGCUGAGAUUACAGGUGUGAGCCACCGCUCCCGGCCAAGAUUUUUUAAUACAUACAUACAUACAUAUAUAUAACAUACAUAUAUAUAACAUACAUAUAUAUAUAUAUAUAUAUAUAUAUAUAUAUUGUGUGUGUGUGUGUGUGUGUGUGUGUGUGUGAUUAUUGGUUUAGGGGCUCAUCUUUUCCACUCGGCUGUCAUGUCUGCCAACUUUGUCUAGCUCGGUAUAGCAGAUGUCUAACACAUAGAAGGCACUCAAUGGACAUUUGAUGCAUGAAUUAAAGUGCCAGGUACUAUGCUAGGCGAUGAAACUGCAGAGGUGACAGGAACUCUGUGAGAGGCUCAGUUGAAUGGGAGAGACCAAAUCAAUGACAAUGCAACGUGCAAAGAGUUGCAACAGGUAUGGACAAAAAGAUAAGGGGGCUCAGAAAAUGGAGCUGAACACGGUUCAUAGAUGGGGCAAGUGGGUUUCAACACAGCUAGAAGGAGCACAGGCAGGAGGUAAACCUGUGACUAGCCACUAGUAAAAGCCCCAGGAUCCCAGCAGUGGGUUUGCCUGCUGCCGUUCUAAAGACAUGCCCGUCUCUUUAGCAUGUGACUUUUCUUUCCUUCAUGAAAAGAGAAUCAGAUCUCCCCAUCUGGGAAAGGAAUUUCAAUCAGCUGAAUAAUCAAACCUACUAAACAAAUAAACUUGCAGGCAUUCUCCCACAGAACAUCCCUCCCCAGGAUUUUCCUCAUUGAGAAUUACCAUCACCAAGAUAAUAUACUCUUCUCUGUCUGAUGUUUUAAGUUCUAUUAUUUAGAGAGCUCUAAGAUCUUUGUCUCCCUCUCCUGGCCACACAGGCUAGUGGGUUGGAAGGAAACUUAACAAAUAGAUAAGAUUGCCCCAGGGUAUAUACCAAGCAUAUUUCCUAAGCAAUGUAACAGAGAUGUGCUUUUUCCCCUUUAAAAUGAUAUAGUCUGCUGUGAAAGUUAGCUGAGCUGGCUUUAAUCCACUCAAGACUUUGCCACUGGCUCUUUUACCCUUUUAUUUUCAUUUUAUUUUUUAUUAACUCUUUUUUAAAAUAAAAAAGUAGUGAUGAGGUCUCACUAUGUUGUUAAACUCCUAGGCUCAAGUGAUCCCCCUGCUUCAGCCUCCCAAGGUGCUGGGAUUACAGGUUUGAGCCACCAUGCCAGACUUUUUUUUUUUUUUUUUUUUGAGAUGGGGUCUGGCUCUGUGAGUAUAGUCUUUUUCUCUUGUAGGAAGCCCAGCCGGUUGUUACCAAUCCAUAGUACUUUCCCUGACCUCCCCAGGUCUAGGCAGAGACCCUUUUUCUGCCCCUUCUGCAAAUGACCAUGUUAGUUUUGUUUUUUUCCUUUUUUUUUUUUUUUUUUUUUUUUUUUGAGAUGGAGUCUCUUUUGCCCAGGCUGGAGUGCAGUGGCGCGAUCUCGGCUUACUGCAAGCUCUGCCUCCCGGGUUUACGCCAUUCUCCUGCCUCAGCCUCCUGAGUAGCUGGGUCUACAGGCACCCGCCACGAAGCCCGGCUAAUUUUUUGUAUUUUUAGUACAGACGGGGUUUCACCAUGUUAGCCAGGAUGGUCUCGAUCUCCUGACCUCGUGAUCCGCCCACCUUGGCCUCCCAAAGUGCUGGGAUUACAGGCGUGAGCCACCGUGCCCGGCCUUGUUUUCGUUUUUGAAUUACCCAUGUAUUGUGUGCUUAUUCAUGUGAUCCUCAAAACCACUCUAUAAACUCCUACCUUCAGGAUGUUUAGUGAGAUUCAGUAACUGAGUCCCGAUGACAGGAGAGCUUGAGCCCCCGGAAGGCAGGGAUUGCUUUACUCAUCUCUGAAUCCCGGGACCCUACACAGCGAUGGAAAUGGAAGCAAAACGUUCAAGUAAGAAUUCCGCUAGGAGACGGUGCCACCUGCUGGUGGGAACAGGGAACUGAGGCCAAUCUUCUAACUCAGCCCUUGCGGUUUAACUUCACUCUUGAAUUCUGGCGCCGAGGAGAGGGGAAUCAAAGCAGCGUGUUGUGCUUUGGUAAUUAAAGGCAGAACUGGACGGCGAUGUGUCAUGGAGGCUGGCAAACCAGAACUUGAGCUCCAUGACAACAGGGACCUUACCUGUAUUGCCCAUUCUGUGUCUGGCUGGAAAAAAGCUCUCACUGUAUCCCAAAAGAAUGGUGAUAAUUCUAGAUUCUGGCUGUGAUGAAAUCAACCACCUCAUCUAUUUACAAGGUACUAAGAUUAUCAUUCCGAUGAAAAAGACUCUGGAAAAGAAAGUUUUCACCUUUUCAAAACCAUUAACAAUACAUGACGUUUCUAAUUGAGCUCACAGAGUAGGAAGCUUUCCUUGAUGCUAUUAAUGUGAGCACAAUGGUUUUGUGAAAAGCUGGAAAUGGGGGCAUUGAGAAUCUCUGGUAAUUUCAUUUAGCUAUGCACUGAGCUUCUACUUUCUCUGUGCCUGGUUCAGAAUAUUAGAAGAGAUGGCAAUGAUUCUGGAGUGGAUUACACCAUUUGACUGAGGAACUACUGGAAUUUUCUUCUUCUCUAAGAUACACACAAGCAUGACGACUUCCAAUGAACAGGCCUCACCAAGAACUCUCCAAACAUGUAGGGUUUCUUUAGUUUAUCAAUGAAACAAGCAACUUGGUAGGAUGCUUCUGAAAUGCCGCUGCUGUGAUAGAGCAAACCAAGUUUUGAUAAAGUUGAUUCUCUUCUGAUGGAGCCUUCCCCCAAGGUGCUUUCCCAGCCUUGCUGGCUUCAUGCUUCUGGGAUUGAGAAGCUUGUCACCAUCAUCAACAGGCCUAGUUUGCAACGGAAAGCCAGAGAACGUCUCAGCUUCCUUGUGUUCUGUUUGCCCUGACAUUACUGAACUUUAGCAAGACCCAAAGUUAACAAAGACCCCUGUCACAGGCCGAAUGGCAGGGUAUGUUCUUUGAUUUCUGUUAGUGGAAAAUGAAUGUAACACAGAGAUCACAUGGGCUGUGAGGCCCCCCUGUAGCCUCCAGCACCCUUUCUUCCUGGAGCAUGAAUCUGGACGGAAAUGGUGCCGUAUUAGGUUUGUUUUACAAAGAUGAUUUUCAAAGAGGAAGAGGAUCAAAAGAAACAGAAAAGAACCCCCAGCGUGCAGGCCACAGGUGUGUGGGGGUUAAAACUGGAUGGGAAGGAGAGGGGGAAGUCCUGGAACUCAAGGAGGCACAACCGUGGGGGCUUCAUUUUCCCCAGGAACUAUAAAAGGCCAAUGGGCUCUUGUAGGAAAAAAGCAGAUCAGCACAGAUGGGAGCAGAGAAAGGGCUCUCACAGCAAAUUUUGCCGGCUUUCCAGUUUUUCCAUAGAUCAGACCACUUUUUGGCCUUUGCUUAGAACCAUCAAGCUUCCUCCUUAGGCAUCCAGCACAGCUCUUUCCAUAUAUGUGGCGGUUUUUUGUUUUGUUUUAAUAAAGAAAAAUGUUUAUAAGCAUUGUACACAUUGCAUACUGGAAAUCUGCCAAGAGAGUAGGUUUUAGGUGCUCUUACCACACAUACCCCCCCCCAAAACACACACGAACAUGGACAUGUUAAUGGUUGGUGUAAUAUGUUAACGGUAUGUUAAUUUGCUUGUCUGUGGUAAUCACUCCACAUAUGUACGUCAGAACAUCUUGUUGCAUAUCUUAAAUACAGACAAUAAAAAAAGAAAAUCUUGGCUGGGCGUGGUGGCUUUUGCCUGUAAUCCCAGCAUUUUGGGAGGCCAAGGAGGGAGGAUCACAUGCCAGGAGUUCGAGACCAGACUGGGUUAACAUAGUGAGAUCCCAUCUCUACAAAAAAAAAUUUUAAAAAGAAAAUCUUUGAAAAGUUAAAAGAGAAAUAUUGAAGAACAGUGAAAACAGGUGUUAUAGAAAUCAUUUUAGUUCUAUAUAAAAACUUUUAUUUGUUUGUAAAUAAAAAUAUUUGAUAUUUACAUU